rnacentral:misc_RNA from 1 species
UUUCCGUAGGUGAGCCUGCGGAUGGAUCAUUAUUGUAUAACCGAGGUGCGAGGGCUGUCGCUGACCCGAAAGGUCGUGCACGCCCGAGUGCCCUCACACAUCCAUCUCACCCCUAUGUGCACCACCGCGUGGGUCCCCCUUUGGCUUGUUCGGAGGGGGGCUUACGUUUUCACACAAACUUUGUAUGCAGUGUAGAAUGUAUUUUUUGUUUUUGCGAUCACGCAAUCAAUACAACUUUCAACAACGGAUCUCUUGGCUCUC